GAUUGUUUUUUUGACAAAACGGUAAGUUUGAUUUGAAAAAAAAAAUCAAACGGUUCUUGAGUUAAAAUCAAACGGUAGGUUUGAUUCUCCAAACUCAAAAUCUCUCAAUCCCCAAAUUCUCUCUUUCUAUCUCUCUCACACUCCUUUGAAACACAACAUUCCUUUUUAACUCUAAAUUCAGAGAUAGUUUCUUGAUUAGGGUUCUUUGUUAUCACUAUCGCUACUUUAAUCUUUCAUUAUCACUAAUUCAUAAUCGAUUCAUUCUGCCCAAUUUGUUUUCUCUUUGCGACACUCUUUCCUUCUCCGUCAUUCAUCAUAACAGAACGCUGAAAAAACCUCACAACACGUUCGUGUAACUCGCUCACUCGACUCAUUCGCGUAACUCGUUCUAUUCGGUUUCGAUUUUUUCAUCAUGCCGAAUGAUAAAGUUGAUUCCAAACCCGCCGAUAUCAGGGCACCCCGAUGAGCUUGUGUGAACCUAGGAAUUUUCAUUUGCAUGCAAUUUUAGGGAUUCACUGGAGUCUAGGAGUGAAUAUAUCAAAGGAAGGAAACAGACGAGCAAAGCCGCUAAGGAUCCUACCAAGCCGAACAAGCUACCAAGGACAUAAUCCCAUCUUGAAUUCUGGGCACCACGAUUAGCUUGUGUGAACCUAGGAAUUUUCAUUUGCAUGCAAUUUUAGGGAUUCACCGGAGUCUAGGAGUGAAUAUAUCAAAGGAAGGAAACAGACGAGCAAAGCCGCUAAGGAUCCUACCAAGCCGAACAAGCUACCAUGGACAUAAUCCCAUCUUGAAUUCUGGGCACCACGAUGAGCUUGUGUGAACCUAGGAAUUUUCAUUUGCAUGCAAUUUUAGGGAUUCACCGGAGUCUAGGAGUGCAUAUAUCAAAGGAAGGAAACACACGAGCAAAGCCGCUAAGGAUCCUACCAAGCCGAACAAGCUACCAAGGACAUAAUCCCAUCUUGAAUUCUGGGCACCACGAUGAGCUUGUGUGAACCUAGGAAUUUUCAUUUGCAUGCAAUUUUAGGGAUUCACCGGAGUCUAGGAGUGCAUAUAUCAAAGGAAGGAAACAGACGAGCAAAGCCGCUAAGGAUCCUACCAAGCCGAACAAGCUACCAAGGACAUAAUCCCAUCUUGAAUUCUGGGCACCACGAUGGGCUUGUGCGAAUCUAGGAAUUUUCAUUUGCAUGCAAUUUUCAGGGAUUCACCGGAGUCUAGGAGUGCAUAUAUCAAAGGUUUCAUAUACAUUUUUGUUCCUUCUCAGUUUAGAAAUUUUAUAAUGGCGGAACCUUCUGAUUUUGUUACAAGGUGAGGUCCACAACUUUGGAUACAUGGUUGCCAGAACAAGUUUCUUUCAUGCAAUGGAAGAAACUAUGGAAUCUAUUUCAAAUAUUGUUUGGCUAAA